GUCCACGGCCAUGCCACCCUGAAUGUGCCUGAUCCCAUGUGAUCUCGGAAGCUAAGCAGGGUUGGGCCUGGUUAGUACUUGGAUGGGAGACCACCUAGGAAGAGCAGGUGCUGUAGGUG
rnacentral:rRNA from 1 species